UACGUAGGGGGCCAGCGUUGUUCGGAAUUACUGGGUGUAAAGGGUUCGUAGGCGGUGCGGCAAGUUGGGAGUGAAAUCUCUGGGCUUAACUCCGAAACUGCAUUCGAUACUGCCGUGCUUGAGGACUGGAGAGGAGACUGGAAUUUACGGUGUAGCGGUGAAAUGCGUAGAUAUCGUAAGGAAGACCAGUGGCGAAGGCGGGUCUCUGGACAGUUCCUGACGCUGAGGCACGAAGGCCAGGGGAGCAAACGGG
rnacentral:rRNA from 1 species